rnacentral:tRNA from 1 species
GCCAGUGUGGUAUAGUGGUUUGAGCAUUGGACUGUAACUCUGAAGGUCAGGGUUCAGUUCCCUGCUUGGCCA